CGCAUCUGUGCAUGCAGCAUAUCAAUAAGCGGAGGAAAAGAAACUAACAAGGAUUCCCUUAGUAACGGCGAGUGAAGCGGGAAGAGCUCAAAUUUGAAAUCUUCAAGGUUUUACCUUGACGAAUUGUAGUUUAAAGAAGUGUUUUCUGUUGAAGUUUUGGUAAAAGUUCUUUGGAAUAGGACAUCAUAGAGGGUGAGAAUCCCGUAUUUGACCAUUAUUUUCAGCUGUGUGAUACACUUUCAAAGAGUCGGAUUGUUUGGGAAUGCAGUCCAAAAUGGGUGGUAAAUUUCAUCUAAAGCUAAAUAUUGGCGAGAGACCGAUAGCGAACAAGUACCGUGAGGGAAAGAUGAAAAGAACUUUGAAAAGAGAGUUAAACAGUACGUGAAAUUGUCAAAAGGGAAGCGUUUGACACCAGUGUUGUUUUCUCGAAAAUCAAUUAAAAAGAGUUAGAUUUUGUUGUGUAUUGACCUUAACAGCUUGCAUUUCAAUUUUCUUGCUUUUUUUAAUGCACUUUUCGUUUAACAAGUCAACAUCAGUUUCUUUUGUUGUAAAAAGGUCAUUGGAAGGUGGCUUUCUUUUCGGAGAAAGUGUUUAUAGCCUUUGACUCCUGCAAUCGGAGAGACUGAGGUCUGCAGCGUAGAUCCUUCGGGGUUAGAUACAUUCGUGCUAAGUUAUAGCUUUUUAUAGACAACUUGUUGACUAUGAUUAGUCUUGUAGCUUACUCGCUUAUGUUAUUUUACCUACGCUUAGGAUGUUGAUGUGAUACUGCGAGC
rnacentral:rRNA from 1 species